GGCUGCAGUAUUUUGACUGUACAAAGGUAGCAUAAUCAUUUGUCUUUUAAUUGGAGGCUAGUAUGAAUGGUUGGAUGAAAAAUAUACUUUCUUUAUUUUAUAUAAAAAAAUUAACUUUUUAGUCAAAAGGCUAAUAUUCUAUUAUAGGACGAGAAGACCCUAUAGAACUUUAUUUUCUUUUAUAUAUAAUUUUUAUGGUUUUUAAUAAAAUUAUAUAUAUAUUUAAAUUGUGUUGGGGUGACAGAAAAAAUAAUAUAACUUUUUCUAUUUUUUUCAUUUAUAUAUGUUGUUUUUGAUCCUAUAUUAUAGAUAAUAAGAUUAAGUUACCUUAGGGAUAACAGCGUUAUUUUCUUUGAGAGUUCUUAUCGAUAAGAAAGUUUGCGACCUCGAUGUUGGAUUAAAAUAAGUG
rnacentral:rRNA from 1 species